AUACGGAGGAUCCGAGCGUUAUCCGGAUUUAUUGGGUUUAAAGGGUGCGCAGGCGGCCAUUUAAGUCAGCGGUUAAAUCGUGGGGCUCAACCCCAUUCUGCCGUUGAUACUGGGUGGCUUGAUUGCGGUCGAGGUUGGCGGAAUUCGUUGUGUAGCGGUGAAAUGCAUAGAUAUGACGAAGAACACCGAUUGCGUAGGCAGCUGACCAGACCGCAAAUGACGCUCAUGCACGAAAGUGCGGGGAUCGAACAGGAUUAGAUACCCAGGUAGGCCGCACAGUAAACGAUGAAUACUUGUUUUCGGCGAUAUAAUGUCGGAGGCAAAGCGAAAGCGAUAAGUAUUCCACCUGGGGAGUACGCCGGCAACGGUGAAACUCAAAUGAAUUGACGGGG
rnacentral:rRNA from 1 species